rnacentral:rRNA from 2 species
GACUCUCGGCAACGGAUAUCUCGGCUCUCGCAUCGAUGAAGAACGUAGCGAAAUGCGAUACCUGGUGUGAAUUGCAGAAUCCCGCGAACCAUCGAGUCUUUGAACGCAAGUUGCGCCCGAGGCCACUUGGCCGAGGGCACGCCUGCCUGGGCGUCA